GAACGCGAAGAACCUUACCCGGGCUUGAAUUGCAGAGGAAGGAUUUAGAGAUAAUGACGCCCUUCGGGGUCUCUGUGAAGGUGCUGCAUGGUUGUCGUCAGCUCGUGCCGUGAGGUGUCGGCUUAAGUGCCAUAACGAGCGCAACCCUUCUCCUCAGGUUGCCAUCAGGGUAAAUGCCGGGCACUCUCGUAGGACACUGCCAUCGUAAGAUGUGAGGAAGGUGGGGAUGACGUCCAAAUCAGCACGGCCCUUACGUCCGGGGCUACACACGUGUUACAAUGGCGGGGUACAGAAGGGCCGCGUAGCCACGGCAGAACUGGGAAUUGCUAAUCUUUAAAACCUGUCUCAGUUCGGACUGGGGUCUGCAACCCGACCCCACGAAGCUGGAUUCGCUAGUAAUCGCGCAUCAGCCAUGGCGCGGUGAAUACGUUCCCGGGUCUUGUACACACC
rnacentral:rRNA from 1 species